GAUGAAGAACGUAGCGAAAUGCGAUAAGUAAUGUGAAUUGCAGAAUUCAGUGAAUCAUCGAAUCUUUGAACGCACAUUGCGCCCCCUGGUAUUCCGGGGGGCAUGCCUGUUCGAGCGUCAUUUCACCACUCAAGCCUCGCUUGGUAUUGGGCAACGCGGUCCGCCGCGUGCCUCAAAUCGACCGGCUGGGUCUUCUGUCCCCUAAGCGUUGUGGAAACUAUUCGCUAAAGGGUGUUCGGGAGGCUACGCCGUAAAACAACCCCAUUUCUAAGGUUGACCUCGGAUCAGGUAGGGAUACCCGCUGAACUUAAGUAUAUCAAUAAGCGGAGGA
rnacentral:misc_RNA from 1 species